rnacentral:lncRNA from 10 species
UCUGUAACCAUUGGCAGUUGUGCAUAGCAUCAUGGGAAUCAUCUGUAACCAUUGGCAGUUGUGCAUAGCAUCAUGGGAAUCAUCUGAAACUAUUGGCAGUUGUGCAUAGCAUCAUGGGAAUCAUCUGUAACCAUUGGCAGUUGUGCAUAGCAUCAUGGGAAUCAUCUGUAACCAUUGGCAGUUGUGCAUAGCAUCAUGGAGAUUCUCUACUUUCCAAUCGUGGGCUGGUGAUGUUGACCUCCUUAGCAAAUGGUAAAACCUUCUUCCCAAAGUCACCCAGAAGCUUCUGAAAGAUGUUUGGAACCUGAGGGUGACUUUUCAAUGAAUGAGCCGAUCACACCAAACUCCUGUAACUUUAAAAAUUCUGCUAUUUCUCCUGAGAUAUCUGUCAAUUUUUAUUGUAUAUAAUUACAGUGCCCAUAGUGUAGACUGGCAGUCCUUUUCCUGUGUCCUCUGAAGUGCUUGUCUGAUGUUUCGCUGAAAGACAUGAA